rnacentral:rRNA from 1 species
UACGGAGGAUCCGAGCGUUAUCCGGAUUUAUUGGGCUUAAAGGGUGCGUAGGCGGCCUUGUAAGUCAGGGGUGAAAGACGGUAGCUUAACUAUCGCAGUGCCUUUGAUACUGCAGGGCUUGAAUGUACUUGAGGUAGGCGGAAUGUGACAAGUAGCGGUGAAAUGCAUAGAUAUGUCACAGAACACCAAUUGCGAAGGCAGCUUACUAAAGUAUGAUUGACGCUGAGGCACGAAAGCGGGGGGAUCAAACAGG